rnacentral:rRNA from 1 species
AACGAACGCUGGCGGCAUGCCUAACACAUGCAAGUCGAACGAGACCUUCGGGUCUAGUGGCGCACGGGUGCGUAACGCGUGGGAACCUGCCCUUAGGUUCGGAAUAACUCCCCGAAAGGGGUGCUAAUACCGGAUAAUGUCUUCGGACCCAAGAUUUAUCGCCUUUGGAUGGGCCCGCGUUGGAUUAGCUAGUUGGUAGGGUAAAAGCCUACCAAGGCGACGAUCCAUAGCUGGUCUGAGAGGAUGGUCAGCCACACUGGGACUGGGACACGGCCCAGACUCCUACGGGAGGCAGCAGUGGGGGAUAUUGGACAAUGGGCGAAGGCCUGAUCCAGCUAUGCCGCGUGAGUGAUGAAGGCCUUAGAGUUGUAAAGCUCUUUUACCCGGGAUGAUAAUGACGGUACCGGGAGAAUAAGCUCCGGCUAACUCCGUG